CCAACAGGGAUUGCCUCAGUAACGGCGAGUGAAGCGGCAACAGCUCAAAUUUGAAAUCUGGCUCUUUCAGGGUCCGAGUUGUAAUUUGUAGAGGAUGCUUCGGGUGCGGCGCCGGUCUAAGUUCCUUGGAACAGGACGUCAUAGAGGGUGAGAAUCCCGUAUGUGACUGGCGACCAAGCCCAUGUGAAGCUCCUUCGACGAGUCGAGUUGUUUGGGAAUGCAGCUCUAAAUGGGUGGUAAAUUUCAUCUAAAGCUAAAUACCGGCCAGAGACCGAUAGCGCACAAGUAGAGUGAUCGAAAGAUGAAAAGCACUUUGGAAAGAGAGUUAAAAAGUACGUGAAAUUGUUGAAAGGGAAGCGCUUGCAACCAGACUUGCCUGCAGGUGAUCAACCGUCCUUUUGGGCGGUGCACUCUCCUGCGGUCAGGCCAGCAUCGGUUUGGGCGGCUGGAUAAAGGCCCCGGGAAUGUAGCUUCCUCCGGGGAGUGUUAUAGCCCGGGGUGCAAUGCAGCCAGCCCGGACCGAGGACCGCGCUUCGGCUAGGAUGCU
rnacentral:rRNA from 1 species